AUACCUUUCUCGAUCUUUUGGCUAAAAUCAAGUGUAGUGUCUGUUUUUAUUAAUUUAAUACUGGAUAUAGUGGGUUAAUGGUCGAUAUGAUAUUAAAUUAAUUUUUUAAGAGAGAGGAUCUCCUACAUUAGUUUGCUAUUGACAUUCUCGCAUGUCUUCCAAGCGAUGCCCUACUGCUCGGGCCUUGCGCACCCCAC